rnacentral:rRNA from 1 species
UACGUAGGGCGCAAGCGUUAUCCGGAAUUAUUGGGCGUAAAGAGCUCGUAGGCGGUUUGUCGCGUCUGCCGUGAAAGUCCGGGACUCAACUCCGGAUCUGCGGUGGGUACGGGCAGACUAGAGUGAUGUAGGGGAGACUGGAAUUCCUGGUGUAGCGGUGAAAUGCGCAGAUAUCAGGAGGAACACCGGUGGCGAAGGCGGGUCUCUGGGCCGAUACUGACGCUGAGGAGCGAAAGCGUGGGGAGCGAACAGG